GCGAAUAGUAAUCUAUCGGGUCCUUGCGCCGCACGAGCAUUGAGCUUGUGCCCAAGGAUAAUAGGGAAGCCGGUGUGAAUCCGGCACGGUCCCGCCACUGUAAAUGGAGUGUUGCGCUCAGAAUGCCACUGUCUGCGCGGAUUCAAGCGAAUCCGCUGAUGGGAAGGCGAGCACAGCAAGAUGCUCCUAAGUCAGGAGACCUGCCCGAUAGGAAGACGAGUU
rnacentral:ncRNA from 2 species